UGGGGAUUGAGUUCAAUUCUUCCCACCAAAGUCCCAUGUGAUGGAACUACACAAGCCAGAGUUGUGAAGAGGCUAGAAAGCUUAAUUAAGAUGUGCAUUUACUGAAUAUAACUACAAACGUGUUUGUACAAGAUACCAGCAAAUAUACGAUGAUGAAAAUAAGCAGUUUCUAUCCAAACACUUCCUAUGUGCUCCCGUAAUCAAGCAAAUUGCUCUUGGGUGAGUCUCCCAGACACCUGAGGGCUUCUUCAAGCCAUGCCCAGGAGAAUACACCAAUUCAACAGGCUGUUCUUAAUCACUCGUCUACGUCCAACGUGGUUUUCUUUCUCUCUUUCAUUGUUUUAAUCUCUUAAAAAAUAAAGCUUAAAUAUAUUCAAUGAACAAAAUUUGGAAAAUACAAAUAGGUAGAAAGAAAGGAAAAACAAAUUAGAUAAGUUUCUAUUUAUUAUUAGCAUAUGAUUUUAA